rnacentral:misc_RNA from 1 species
GCAAACUUGGUCAUUUAGAGGAAGUAAAAGUCGUAACAAGGUUUCCGUAGGUGAACCUGCGGAAGGAUCAUUACCGAGAUAGGGUGCCUGGUCCUCCCAGCGCCCGACCUCCCAACCCUUUGUCUACUUAACCACAACGUUGCUUCGGCAGGCCCGCAGAACCCUCCCCCCCGCGGGGAAGGGGGACGCCGCCGGGGGUCUCGCGACCCCGGGCCCGCGCCUGCCGACGGCCCCCCUCACAAAACUCUUGUUAAACCGUGUCGUCUGAGUACCAAACACAAAUUAAAACCAAAACUUUCAACAACGGAUCUCUUGGUUCUGGCAUCGAUGAAGAACGCAGC